UGCAGUAACUCCUAUCCCUACUUCCCCGUGGUGCCGCCUGGGGUACGAGUAACCGUAACGGGUAACCAACCCUGGUGGGACCUUGGUCGUAUGCUGACAGGGAAGG
rnacentral:ribozyme from 1 species